rnacentral:lncRNA from 1 species
CAGAAAACCACAUUGCCUCCACCCACCACCACAACUCCUCUUAGCAACCAUCGAUUCACACCACCAAACCAGCAGCAUCAACCAAUUUUUUAGGAGGAGCAAGGUUCGAGCUUUGACACUGCAAUGGAGCUAAUUUCGGUGGCUCCCUCUGCUGAUGGCUCGAAUGGGACAAUUAGGCCACCCAUAAAGAGAAACCAAGAGGAGAUGGCAAAAAGGCCGAGCUAGUUGCCUAAUAGUUGGACGAUAGAUUUGCCUAAUAAUUGGAAGAUAUAUUUGAGGGUCUAUUCCUCUCAAGCCACCGCUGGAACCAUCGAUUGGGUAUCUCUGGCUCUAAUUCACACACAUAUACACCCACACAUAGAAAUGGUCUAACUUUUGACCAAAUCUAGCCAAAGUUACUAUCAUUUUACUCAAAAUUUUGGCUUCCAUUUUGCUCAAAAUUAUUAUCGUUUUGCUAUGGCUACUCUUGGACAGUGGUGUCCACUAUUGCAAUGGCUAUUCUUCGACAGUGUGGGUCAAUCGUGGUUGGUGGCUGAGGGGCUGAAGGUCGAUUGUGGUGGGUGGUUGAGGAGCUGUUGGUUUGAU